AUUGAACGCUGGCGGCAUGCUUUACACAUGCAAGUCGAACGGUAACGGGCCGCAAGGUGCUGACGAGUGGCGAACGGGUGAGUAAUGCAUCGGAACGUGCCCAGUCGUGGGGGAUAACGCAGCGAAAGCUGUGCUAAUACCGCAUACGAUCUGUGGAUGAAAGCGGGGGACCUUCGGGCCUCGCGCGAUUGGAGCGGCCGAUGUCAGAUUAGGUAGUUGGUGGGGUAAAGGCUCACCAAGCCGACGAUCUGUAGCUGGUCUGAGAGGACGACCAGCCACACUGGGACGGAGACACGGCCCAGACUCCUACGGGAGGCAGCAGUGGGGAAUUUUGGACAAUGGGCGCAAGCCUGAUCCAGCAAUGCCGCGUGCAGGAAGAAGGCCUUCGGGUUGUAAACUGCUUUUGUACGGAGCGAAAAGGCUCCCUCUAAUACAGGGGGCUCAUGACGGUACCGUAAGAAUAAGCACCGGCUAACUACGUGCCAGCAGCCGCCGUAACAC
rnacentral:rRNA from 1 species